ACAAGUGGCCAUACUGGUUUGUCAGAGCCUGAUCUCAUCAGAUGUCAGAAGUUAAGCAGUGCUAGACCUGGUUAGUAGUUGGAUGGGAGACCACUGAGAAUGUCGGGUGCCACAGUG
rnacentral:rRNA from 1 species